GAUGAACGCUGGCGGCGUGCCUAAUACAUGCAAGUCGAGCGAACAGACGAGGAGCUUGCUCCUCUGACGUUAGCGGCGGACGGGUGAGUAACACGUGGAUAACCUACCUAUAAGACUGGGAUAACUUCGGGAAACCGGAGCUAAUACCGGAUAAUAUAUUGAACCGCAUGGUUCAAUAGUGAAAGACGGUUUUGCUGUCACUUAUAGAUGGAUCCGUGCCGCAUUAGAUAGUUGGUAAGGUAACGGCUUACCAAGGCGACGAUGCGUAGCCGACCUGAGAGGGUGAUCGGACACACUGGAACUGAGACACGGUCCAGAAUCCUACGGGAGGCAGCAGUAGGGAAUCUUCCGCAAUGGGCGAAAGCCUGACGGAGCAACGCCGCGUGAGUGAUGAAGGUCUUCGGAUCGUAAAACUCUGUUAUUAGGGAAGAACAAAUGUGUAAGUAACUAUGCCCGUCUUGACGGUACCUAAUCAGAAAGCCACGGCUAACUACGUG
rnacentral:rRNA from 1 species